UUUACGGAAAAUGAUAUGAAGAUAUCUCUCAUUGCAUGGAAUUUACCUAAUAAAACUUUUGGAAUUACUAAAUAAACACUAAAAUUUUGAAAAAAAUAAAUAUUGAAUUGUCUUAAGCUUAGUGCAUUGUGACUGACAAUAUAACAGAAGGGCAUACCAUAUUAGCUAUGCUGGAGGAUGUUUAUUAGGAAACAGUCAAAACAAAAUUUAUAGUCCUCCGAAUAAAAGAAUUAAAGAUGCAAAGAUCAGUUUCAGGAGGGUGAAACCGUAAAUACUGAAUUAUCGAUAUUCUUUGGGAGUCAGUGCAUUCAUCUCUAAACUGAAAACCAUAUGAGAUAAAAGAGAGCUUACUCCUUGAGUUAUUUAUAUCUCCUGCCAUGAGGUUCAUUGACAAUCUUCCAUAUGCUUCCCAGUCUAAUUCACAUUUUUUUUUUGCCCAUUUCUUUCUGAUCUUCAUUUUCUCUCCAUGUUUUCUCCUUUCCUGGUAUUGGUCGCCAAAGUUUUCUAGAAGUUCAACUGGAAAUCAAAAUUGACAUUAAAGUCACGAUUAUCAACUGUUAAAUUUUAUCUACGUGGCAUUUUUCUCUGAAUCUUCUAAAGUCAUGAAGUACUUGUUGGGCUGCACUUGACACCAGGUCAUGGGGUCAUUUUUCAAUUGUUGCAGUGAUCGCAUACUCGCAUUUGACCUGUAUCUGAAUUCAAAUAACGUGGUUUGCAUGCCUGUCAUCUGUUGGUGUACGUAAAGUUUAUGCCACAAUGAAUUUCUUUAUGUGUUUAUGAUUUAGAAUAUGCAUUUUUUUUUGUUGUUCACUAUAAAGGUGGUAGGAGACACUUCUGUUCGCGAAAAUUUGAUAUUAUAUUCUGGACUUGGAACUUCUACACAAACGCUGGAGAUCUUCACUAAUGCAGUUUUUUAUGUGGAAUGGCUCUGCUACGUGAUAGCCGUUUGCCAUGAAUGUAUGAUUAAUCUUUCAAUCUAGCUCUUUGCAUAAUCCGAUGACUUUCAACCAAUAGCUUUUCUAAAUGUAUGGAUAUACAAGUGCUUGAAGUUAAGGGACUUCUGGCACUGACGCAUUUUGGAUAAACUGGUAUGUGCCGGUGGAUGUGACACAUUUCGCAAUGGCUUCCAGGCAUUGGUUAAUUUGGAGACCUGUUUUUCUGUGAUACUGGAACUUCAAUUGGUGUUCUGAAUUAUUUGUCUUUGUAAUGUUAAUUUUUAUCGUUUUUAAUGGCUUUUAGGAAAAAAAUGUUUUUGAGCAUGUCUGCAUGGGUUUCUUAAAUUUUUUUACUGGACGUACUAAAUUUUCAGAGAUUUGAGAUUUUUUAAUGUGCAUAUAUAUUAUAAUUCCAAACAGUUGUCUCUUAUAUGGCUAUAUUUUAACGCAAGGAAGAGAAAUGAGUUUUAAAUUUCUCUCUCAUCGUCUACUCACCA
rnacentral:lncRNA from 1 species